rnacentral:tRNA from 6 species
GCGUUUGUGGCGAAGUGGUUUAACGCUCCGGGUUGUGGCUCCGGCAUACGUGGGUUCGAUCCCCAUCAAACGCCCCA